rnacentral:rRNA from 1 species
GACGAACGCUGGCGGCGUGCUUAACACAUGCAAGUCGAACGAAGUGGCGAACGGGUGAGUAACGCGUAAUCAACCUGCCCUUCUGCGGGGGACAACAGGUGGAAACGACUGCUAAUACCGCAUUCUGAAGGUGGGGAUUGCGUCUGAUUAGCUAGUUGGAGGGGUAACGGCCCACCAAGGCGCUGAUCAGUAGCCGGUCUGAGAGGAUGAACGGCCAAAUUGGGACGGAGAGACGGACCAGACUCCUACGGGAGGGCGCAGUGGGGAAUCUUCCGCAAUGGACGAAAGUCUGACGGAGCAACGCCGCGUGAGUGAUGACGGGCUUCGGGUUGGAAAGCUCUGUUAAUCGGGACGCGGUACCGGAAUAGAAAGCCACGGCUAACUACGUGCCAGCAGCCGCGGUAAUAC